rnacentral:rRNA from 1 species
AAUAUUGCGCAAUGGGGGCAACCCUGACGCAGCCAUGCCGCGUGUGUGAAGAAGGCCUUAGGGUUGUAAAGCACUUUCAAGGUGAAGAAAGGUUGUAGGUUAAUAACCUGCAGCUGUGACAUUACCUUUAGAAGAAGCACCGGCUAACUCCGUGCCAGCAGCCGCGGUAAUAAGGAGGGUGCAAGCGUUAAUCGGAAUUUUUGGGGGUAAAGCGGGGGUAGGCGGUUAUUUAAGUCGGAUGAGAAAGCCCCGGGCUCAUCAACGGAACUGCAUCAGAUACUGGGUAACUAGAGUACGAGAGAGGGAGGUAGAAUUCCACGUGUAGCGGUGAAAUGCGUAGAUAUGAGGAGGAAUACCGGCGGUGAAGGCGGCGUCUUUGCUCGAUAUAGACGACGAUGUGACAAAGCGUGGGGAGCAAACAGGAGGAGAUGCUACGGUAGUCCACCCCGCA